rnacentral:rRNA from 1 species
AUUGAACGCUGGCGGCAGACUUAACACAUGCAAGUCGAGCGAGCGGCGGCCGGGUGGGUAAUUUCUGGGAAACUGCCUGAUGUAGGGGUAUCACUACUGGAAACGGUAGCUAAUACCGCCUACCCUCCGUUGUGCCCCGAGGGGAUUAGCUAGUAGGUGGGGUAAUGGCUCACCUCGGCGACGAUCCCUAGCUGGUCUGAGAGGAUGACCGGCCACACGGGAACUGAGACACGGUCCAGACUCCUACGGGAGGCAGCAGUGGGGAAUAUUGCACAAUGGGCGCAAGCCUGAUGCAGCCAUGCCGCGUGUGUGAAGAAGGCCUUCGGGUUGUAAAGCACUGUCAGCGAGGAGGCGUUACUCGCAGAGGAAGCAACGGCUAACUCCGUGCCAGCAGCCGCGGUAAUUC